ACCAGCUAUCAUACUUUUCUUAUCUGGUACCCUUGCCCUCCUUCCUGCUUGGAGUGCAGACAGAAUGCCGGAAGUGCUGGAGGUCAGACAGUGACAAACACUCAAUAGCGACUGCUGGACAGAAAGAUAGAAAGUUCCUGAAUCCAUCUUGGCAUUGUAGAGUCACACAACAGCCCUGAACUGCCUACUCUGGACUUCACGUUAGCCAGGCGCACAGUAACUGGGGAGGUUCUCCCCAAGAGAGCAACUCGCCUUUGGAUGUCUUUCUCCAGUCCCAGCCAUGGUUCUUUGAUCACUUGAUGACAUUUGCCCACCUGCUUCCCAGGUUUGAAUCUCUUGGCCAUGAAGAAGAGAGUGGCACCAGUGAAAGUCGGACCUAAGGGAAGAAAAAAAAAGGUAAACCUCUACCCAGCCUGAUUUAAAAAAAGAAGAAAAAGAAAACACCAGUUACCAUGAUCAGGAAUGAGAGAAAGGAGAGUGAAAACAGCAUAGAACAGAUGGGACAAACAGAAACACAGGAGUAAGAAAGCAAAGCUGACCAAUCCAUAGCUGGCCUCUUAGAACAAGAUGUUAAUUGGCAAUGCUAUAUAAAAUUCAGAUGUAGGAAAAAGGGUAAAAAUCAAAGAAUCUACACCUUCCAUUUGGAAUUCCUGCAGCAGUUU